rnacentral:lncRNA from 1 species
AUUUUUGAAACUUCUUUUAUUUUCUUUUUUAUGAAAAUUAAAAAGCAUUGUAAAAAAAUAUAUGUAAAAAUAAACUGAAAGAACUAGUUUGGGGUCCACCACGUGGCGGUUGGUAAGUCAUAUUAAGUCCUUGUCCGGUUGUCCCACCUUUGUGUGGGGCCGAGAUCGUAAACAACCGUACGGUGGGAAAGAUCUGGAAUUAGGUUUGAAUUUUGUAUGCGUAUGUCCCUUGUUUUUAUUUGCCUCGUAUCUAAUAAUAUUAUAUUAUUUAUAAGUGUUUUUAUGAAAAUAACAUAAAGCCAGCCACCUUUUUUAUGUUAUUACAAAAUGUCAAGGUUUUAAUUUUAAAAUUAUUUUGGAAUAUACACACACACACACACACACACGAUAUUUUCUGUUACAUUACAAAGUGCCCCACUUAUUUUGUCUUAAUUCACUCUACUUAUCACAAAAAUCAGAUCAGCACUUAACCCUUUGUCAUAUUUCUUCUUUCCUUUUGUAAUUGUAGACUCCGUCCUUACGUGUACGUAACUAACUUAUACUAAAUGAAACAAAUUUCUCACUUUUUUUUAUGAUUAAACAACACACACACACACACACAAUCAAAGUGUGAAUUACUAAUAUCUUUUAUAAUACAAUAAUGAGAUCAUUUAUCUGUUUAAUUACGAUAAGUUCACUUGAUAAAGAAAUUAUAAAAUACAUUAGAAAUAUCAUGUCAACCAUAUAAUAAGUACAUGAUAAUAGGACAUAUGUGCAUUUAUUUAAAAAAAAAUUCAUACAAGUGGGGUUCUAUUAAAUUUAAUUAUACAUGUCAUACAUACAUUAAUUAGUUAUAUUACCUAUAAUAUAUUGUAGAAUUCGUCCAUAUGAUGAAUGAAACAUCACAUGGCAUAUUAUUUGAGAUAAAUUUAAGAUACUAUUUAGGAUGUAUAGCAUCACUCUUAACAUUAAGUCUAAUGGCACAAUAUUAAGUUAAUUAACAAUUUUUGAUAGGGAAAACUACAUGAACUGCAAACAUUAAUCACGAUAAUGUUGGCGUUGAGAAUAUUACAUACCCUAUAAGUUUACCCUUGAAAAAAAAAUAAAUAAAGGUAGGGGACAUUAAGGUGGUGUUUUUUUUUUUUUUUUUUGUCUGAAAUCUUAAUACACCUAAAUUAGUCUGAAUUCUGAAUAGAGCUAAAUGUCUGAACAUAAAUAAUAUGUUUGUUUUCUUGUCUGAAUCACUAAAAAUAAAUAUUAAGCUAUUUAUUUUUUAACUUUAAAAAAUCUGAAAACUAGUAUUUUUACAUUUGUGCCCCUAUAAAUUAUAAACAUUAAACAAAUAAUAAACACCUCACAAAAAAUAAAUAAGAUAAUAUAUUAUCCUAACAUAAAUCAUAUUCAAUUUAAAACAACCCUUUAAUAUUCUAUAUUAGUAUAUGUUAAUCAAUUUUAUUAUAAUUUAUGAUGUUUUAUAUAAAAAAUAUUUAUAAAAAUACAAAGAUAAAAAUAAUAAUUGUCUACACUAGUUAUUAUCACAAGUUAUUGAGAUGAGUGAUAAUAUUAAUUAUUAAAUUUUAUUUAGGUAAGGAUGAAAUUAAUUAAUUAGAUAGAGAUAUUUUAGAAAAUAUCUUUUAAUAAUAUCAAUAAGUGUUUUUAGAUUAUGUAAAAAAAAAACAUUAGCUUAAUAACUUAACGACUUAAUGACUGAAAAUUUUCAUUAAGUUGAAAAAAAAACAAACAGAGUUAAUAACUUAAUGAAUUGAAAUUAAACCAAUUAAGUCAUUAAAUUAAAAAAACAAACGGCCCUAAUAAAUCUUAUGACACAAGAAAAUACUAAUUAACAAUUGUUGGUAAUGAGAACUAAAUGAACCACUACUUUGAAUCACAAUAUUUUUUUGAUUGAAUUCGUAUUUGGAAUAACCAAUUAAAUAAAAUAACUUGAAAAUUAUCCAAACCUAGUGUGAUGCUUAUCCACAUAAAAGUUAAUUCGAAAGUAUAAAAUAAGGCCACUAAAUCAUUCUUUGUCAUCAUGGAUAAGGAGUCUUCUCCUAAAUUUGGCUUUUCAUACUUCCAUUCAUGGCUUCGGAUGAAAUUAUUUCCAUGGCCAACCUUUCGCCAUCAUUUUUUUUUAUAAUUUUUUAAGUUAAUGGUGCCAGCUUUUUGGUUAAUUAGCUCUUUUAUUCUACCUUUUGCAACCUUAAACCAUUACCCCCGUGAUCUGUUUGCGCUUUUGUUGUAGCGAGUGAGCCAGCUCGCUCACUUUGUAAAUUGCACAUAAUUAGGACCAAUCGUGAUCUUUAAACAAACGAUUUUCUUAAGUUAGUUAUUUUUUGUAACUUCUAAUUAAAACUUUCCUUUUAAAAUGAAUAACAAACGACUGGAAUUAUGUGAUCAAUUGAUACUAAUGGGUCCUUACCUUAGUGGGAAAGUUUUUGCACUCAUGAUGUAUAGAAUAAGAGUUCGAGCAUUCACAAGAUUGUAAAUAUUAGUUGUACCAGUUGUAAUCUAAUAGCCCUAUAUAUCAGUAUUAAAAAAAAAGUAGAUUAAUCGAUAAAUUUUAGGUGGUUAUAUGUUACAUUAAACCUAACAUAGGAGAGAUCCUAGAACAAAUUCUUAAACAUGAUUUAACAAAUUCUAAUUAAUUUUUAUCUUAGAAUAACUUUUUACAAGAAAAAUAAAUUUUUGUUCUUAAAUAUAAAGAGGUGGACAAAAAAUCAAGUGAAUUAUUUAAUCGCUAUUUCUCUUAGAAUUCGAACUUCACUAAUCAACUAAAUAAGAUUAUUUAAAAACCAUUCUAUAAAUCGCUAUAUCACUCUUCACGAGCAAAUUCACCUCUCCGGCGAUCUCAUGAACAUAUAUAUAGGCCAGUGACCUUUUAUUUUACCAUUAAAUAAUCAGUGCACUUACUAUCUUUGAAAGUUUUAUCAGUAAAAUAUGAUUUGUUAUAAAAAAAAUUAAGUGGUACAUGCAAGACAAAUACAAUUCUAUUAUAGUGAUAUAUACACAAUGGGUAAUGACAUGCAUUUAUUGAUACAUAGAAAUUAUUUUCUCACUUUUUAAUGCUUUUAUAUACAUAUAUCAAAGCUAGCUAGCCUUUGAAACUAAUGUUUUGCCUUUUGUUUAUGUCUCAAAUAUAUCUUGGUUAUACAACGGGCGCUUUAUUACAUAAAUAGUAAUCUAGUAAUUGUCACUAAGUUUAUUUUAUUUAUUCUUUUAAAGUAAGUUUAUUUUAUAUUCCUAAGCACUUUAUCGCAUUAGUCUAUUUUAUAUUAUCUUUAUGGUAGAUUUAAGUGAUGUCGCAAAGUUUAUCCUCCUUCUUCUUGCUGGCUUUUAAGCCUUUUUUUUUUUAAUGAGAUUAUUACUUAUGAUAUUUACAAUCAUACAAUUAUUGAGUUCAGUUUACAUCAAAUUUUACAUAGCAUCGCCUAGAUUUUAACCCUCUCAAAUAUUCGGUGGACGUUAACUCCAUUCUAGGCAAAAAGAUUGUUUUCACUAAAGUCUUAGGAAAGAAAUUUAAAUUAAACCCCUACAAUACAUUUGUAGCGGCUCGAAUUACUCCCCUCACACUUGUGAGGGAGUGGCUCUAGUCACCGGCCAAGCCCUAGUGGUUGCUGAUUUUUAAGAUUUUGAUUGCGACAAUUCCAUACCCGUUUUUAACACCUGCUACAUUCUCAUUAAUUAUGUAGGAAAAAUUAAGCUUUCAAACUUGCCCUUACAUAUCAUUCAUUCGUAAUUAAUAAGCCUAAUUGAAUCAAUCAUUCAACAUUUCCAUUUUUUGAAUAUUUAUCAUUCAACUGAUAAAUAUAUGAGAAGAAAUUAUGUUAGAUUCCUAAAGUCUAACUCAAUACCUGUUGGUAAAAUUGACGUCUAAUUCGAAAAUUUAUUAUGAAAGAAUGGAAUAUAUAUAUAUAUAUAUAUAUAUACUCCUAUGGGCACUGACGCGAAUGGGGCUAAAGACUCAAAUCCUAAAAUUCAAGAAUGAUAAGUUACGAUUAUAAUUUUUAAAAUAAAUAAUAAGGAUUAUUGCUCAUAUGAAAUAGAGAUAAAUAAAUAAAUGAAACCAAUUAAUUUUUCUUCCAAAAUAAUAUUUGUAGCUGACUUGAUAUGCUAUAAGUUGAAUUUGAGAAAACGUGGGGGGUGUUUUCUAACAAUUAAUAGUAAACAGACAUAGUUUGCUCAACUUGUUUAAUCUUGUGCUAAUUAUGACAAUUUGAAAGUACGUUUGGUAGCUGAUAGUAACAAGUCAAUAAGGAAUGCGAAAUGUAUCCCCAUAUUUGUACUGAGGAGCAAUUGUGGUCGUCCAUACAUCGCUAUUUUCGUACCCAUUUUUCUUCUGCAGCCUCAAUAAUAGUCUUUGUGUUUGGUAGCUAAGAAAAUGAUGGGAAUGGAAGUAGAGUCCUCAGAAAAUUUGUUCCCACUAAAGAGAAAGAAUCAAUAUCAGGAUGAUUGAAAGUGACUGUAAUAUUUGUCUCAAUGUGCAUUAUGUUCAAGGUGAUGGAAACACUUCAACCAUUUAUUUCUAAUGGUUAAUGUUGUGACAAAAAGAGUACCAAGGAAACUUGGAAACAUCUCAUAUUAAGGAUGCUAUAAAAAUUAAUAACUAUAUUUAUGGAAAGAAAGUUUGUGGCUUUUUACAAAAUCAGUAAUAUAGUUAUUAUUGAUAGUGCCUCUUUUGUAGGGUUAGAAAACUCACUUUCUCUUUUUCAUUUAUUAUUACUGUCUUUUUUAUUAUUUAACGGUAUUAAACCUGUGGCACAAUAGGAUUUGACUAUAGAAAUUUGGUCAUCUACAAAUGUAAUCAAACUAAUUCAAAGAAUCUUUAGAUUUUAAAAAGAUCUCAUUAAUUACAAAAACUUGGAAAGAUUAAUAAUUACAGUGUAUCGUGUAAAUCAUAAAAAAAAAAAAAAACUUUGUAGUUAAGUUUUGAUUAGAUAAAUACAUGCUGAGAAAAGUUUCGAUUUUUUUCAAUUCUUAUGCCCUAGCACUGCUGUUAAUUGUUAUUUAUCAACUCAUUGAUCAGUGCAGUCCAAAAAUCGAUUCUAAAAAUGAGGAAUUAAAUCCAAAGUAUAUAAUUGAUUCUAGAAAAACAAAAAAAUUCCCAACAAAUUGUGUAGAAAAAAUUCUACUCUUUUUCUUACUCUUAUCCAUAUAUAUAUAUAUAUAUAUAUAUAUAUAUAUAUAUAUAUAUAUAUAUAUAUAUAUAUAUUAUAUAAUCAUUUUAAAGUGUGAGCGCCCUCAUUUUUUUCCUUCAAUGAGAAUACUCUGUUAAGUUGUACAGCUUAAUAAAAUUUAUUUUCAAUACACUAUAUAGAAUGUAAUUUAAUAGUAUUACAAACUGACUCUAUUAAACCUUAUGAUUUAAAAAUGUGUCUGCAUAAAAAAAAAAAAAAAUGAGUGCCCGCACUAGAGAAAAACUCUCUCUAUAUUUAUACACAGACACAUACACAUAUUCCAAAUUCCCUUAAUAAGAUUGUCAAGUUGCAUUUCUCAACAAGUUCUUUUGCAAUUUUAAUAAUUAAUUGAGAUGUAUGCAUAGCAUGAUUAUGUUCCCACUUAUAACAUAUUCUUUUUAAAAUAAUUUAUAUUCGUAGUUAUUCCCACUUGUUUUUAGUUCAUAUAAGCCGCAUCUAAUGACCUUAUCUCGUCAAGUUGAACAUAUGAUGCUCUAGAGUCUAGACAACUCAACAAUACCAAUAAAGAAAUAAUCUUCCUACUUUUCUUAUUUAUUUUACAAAGAUACGGAUCCUUCAAAUUGAUGCUUAUGUAAAAGUUUAGAAUCCACCUUGAAUCGUGAAGAAAUUUAUCAUAUAAUAUACCCUUCAAUCAGACAUUAAAGAAAAGGAGACGGAAAAAAAUGAUUUUCUUUUUCUUUUUUUAAACCACAAUUGGAAUAUAAGAAUAAACAUAUUGAGACAAAAAGAAAUUCAUAAAUUAUGUUCCACCAAGAAUUGGGGAAAUGAAGAAGCAAUAGUAUAAAAAAAUGGAAGUUUUUUCAAAAUAUAUAAGAGUCAUAUUUGCAUUUUAUAAAGCCUUAUUUUUAAGUAUAUAAAAAAGUUUAUUUAUGAACAUGAAAUUGUAUUAAAAACAACUAAACGGAAAAAAAAAAACAGAGUAUUUCUUUAUAAUUAUAUUCUGAAACUAGCUACUAACGUGGAUUAGUGAUAGAUCACAUGCAAAAUCUCAAUGUUAUAGUUCCAUUACAUGUUUUUUGGUGGGUUAUAUAAUUAAUUAACUCAUUUAAAUCUAAUGGACUUAAAAAAUUACAAUAUUCCACCUAUUCUUUUUUUACCUAACCUAAUCUAGGCUUUUCGGAGAGUCGAAAGGACAAAUCUGAUUGAAUAAUAUAAUAAGAAAUUAGAUGAAAAUGUGAGUAACUUAUCACUUUAACGUAUGAAACCUAAUCAAGAUUCCUUUGAUGAUUUUUUCUAUUUGCUAAUUGAUUGAUAAGCUCUUCAAUGAAGAUAUAGUGUCCGCAAGCCACACUGCUUUUAUAAUUGAUUUAAAUUUCAAUCAAAUUUCAAAAUUGAAUGCCAACUCGACAUGUUUUGUUUUCUGUGAGUCUAUGAUAUAUAUAAAGCAUUAUUCUCGACUCUUGAGCACCAAAAAAUUGAAAGGACGAAACAAAACACAUGAUUAUGAAAAUAAAAAUAUCAAAAUAUUUUGAUCCAACAAUGUUAAUAGCGAAAAGAGCAAAUCGAAUCAUCUUAAUUAUAUUGUCCUACAUUAGAUUCGCAAAAUGUAAUUGUCUUAUCAAUUAAAAACUAAUCAUGGGUUUAAUUCUUUAUAUAUUUCACAUCUUCCCUUUAAAUUAAAGAACCAUAAUAAGGAUCCGCCUGCGGUACCACAGUGGUACCGUGCCACAUCCUUUGUCUUUUGUGGCUGCAGUGUUGACAAUACCCUCUCUGUGAACCGAAAUGCCCAUGCCGAACCCACAAACCCGAUCCAGAUGCUAUUUCUAUUUCCAGCUACUUCACCGGCCAAGGUCGGUACCGAUCAAAAGAUCGUGCAAUGUCGGUCAUCUCCAUGCCAACCUUGUCGCCGAAAAGCGUUCGGAAAACUGUCGAUUGAAGCCGUGAAAAGCCACAGAACCGCUGCUUCAAUUCGCCGCGAUUUCUCUGGUUUCCGGCGACGCUAUCACUUGGGUUUUGCUCCUCACGAUUCCCUCUAUAUUUUCCGACCAAUCACAGCCACCGGGGGAGCCGAAUUGCUGUUGAUCGGUCGUUGAAGGAUUCACGGCUUUGGGAGCUCGAUCCGGCGCCAUCACCACGCGUGGGAGGUCACCACCGCCACCUUUGGACUCAGCUCGGCCAGAAGUGUCUAACUCGAGUUUCUCGUCGCCGUCAGUUGAAAUCUGGUCCCCAUUGGUCGGCAUGGGCAUUUCGGUAAUGUUCACACGGAUGCAGUUGAAAUUAACUUAAUAUUUGUAAAGUAAAGUUUAAAUAAAAAAGAGUGAAAGUGGUUAUAUGAAAAUUUAACACAAAAGAUAAAAAGAAGUGGCACAAUAUCACUGUAGUACCGCAUGCGGAUCCCUAUAAUAAGCAAUUAAUAAUUUAUCAUAAUUUUUCUGAUUAAUCUAUAAACUUUUACAUGUGUAUAAUUGCGGGACUCAAUUUCUCGCUCAAAAGUAAAAAGGCACCGUACAUAUUGCGGCAUGUGCUAGCUAAUUUGAGUGGAUGGAUAUUCCAAUAUUAAAUUAGAAUCUAUCGGGAUUUUGUUACAAGGUAAUCGAAUUCAAAUUGAACACGAAAACAUCCAAAAUGAAUAAAUCACAAGAGCACGACAAGACUCCAAGUUCAAAUAAAAUAAAGCAAAAGUCAAAAAUGUCAGGAGCAGAAUCUGACACAGCCCACAUGAUCGGGUACAAGUGAGGGCCAUGGAGAUGGCGAUGUAUGAGCUGUCAUGCAUGGAUCGUACGUUUCAGAUGCGAGAGAUAAGUACAUUAUCACUGGCACACACUCGCAUGUGCCAGCAGGCAGUAGAUGGGGAAGACUGAAAGGAGCAGGUGCUUAUCUAAUCUUGUGAUUCUACUGUGGCCCAUUUCGGCUUCCGGCUUUCGGCUUUUCGCUUCUCGGCAUUUUGGUAAUGCAAUUUUUAUUUUAGGCUAAUUCUUGUCAUUGUACGUCCCCAUACGGCUUUUGCAUGUUUGGUUUGGUUUUGGUGGGUGUUCAUAGAAAAAAAUAGCUUAUUAGUAUUGUCAAUUUGGUCAUUGUAUGCUUUUUAAAAAAAAAAUUAUUUCCUUUUACAGCCCGUUAAAUAAAUGAUUUGUUAUUUUUUUAAUGAAUAUCGUACUUCCUUCUUUAACAUGAUAACAUCAAAGCAGCUAUAUAAAAAUUUAGAUGAUUAAUUACCUCAGUGUAUAUGGGGAAUUUGAUUAUUUCCUCUCGCUUUCUUGGACUCUAGAAUGAAUUGAUUGAGCGUCCGCGUAGUACUUGCAAUAAAACCCCGACGCCCAAAUUAGAGGUUAAAGUUAAAAGACUUAGUGAAGAAAUAAAAAAAAUUCAAUAAAAUAAAAGAAUAAAUUACUUGGGAAAAAAAAGUUACAUAAAGAUUUUGUUUUACUCCUUUGAGCUACUAUUUGUAGAUACGCGCUCAAAGUUUGGCCAUAAAUUAAAUAUUAUUUCAUUAUCUAAUUUCGUUCGUUCAUUCAUGAGGACUUGAUUUUAAAUGCUCCACAUUUAUUUUUGAAGUACAAUUGUGUGUGAUUUUUAAUGAAUCAGGUGACAUUGAGUGUUUCCCUCAAUAUUUUCAUAAUAAAACUACACAACAUAAAUUGUAUUAGAUGAACUUAAAAACGACAUGGUAUAUAUAUUCAUUCUAACUAAAUUUUAUGAGUAUAUUUAACAUGAUCAAAUAAUCCUUCUCAGAGGAGUUCAUGGCAUGAUCAAAUAUUCUUUCAUGAUAAAUUUUUUUGUUAAGUUAUUAUUAAUAAUAUCUAAUACUAAAAAACUCACUUGGACUGAUGUAAUAAUUAGUUAUGAUGGUGAACUUGCCAUUAAUACUUAAGCAUUUAAGCUUUAAUAAUUUGAAUUGGAGAGUUCAAAAUGAUGUUGAGAAUUUAUAAAAAGACAUUUUCUUAGAUUCAAAUUAUGGGGUAAAAUGAAUUUAGGUGUGGUUUUCUAGGAGAGAGAGAGACAUUGUGGGAAUGAAGAAAUUCUUAAAGCCCAAAUGUAAAAUGGGCCUAUUGGUCCACUUCAUUUGUGAAUCAAGAAUUUGCGGUCUGCGGGUUUUAUAGCUUUUGCUUCCACGGAGAGAGUGAAUGAUAGAAGUUUCAUAUUAUAAUCAUAAAAACUUUGUUCAUCACUUGGAUUCCUAACAUAUACUUCCAUUUUGUUCUUGGUAUUGACAUUUUAAUAUGAGUAACUUCAUAGUUAUAAACUUCUAUAUAAAUUCUUUUUAUAAAAAUUCAUGGCAUUAGAUUGUUUGAGUGAAAAUAUAAAAUAAUAAAGAAAAAUCAUGUGGACCGUAUAGUGUUUUCACUCAACCAAUCAUAUUAUGCUACGUUAGUUUGUAAAAAAAUAAUUUGUACAAGAUUUUAUAGGUGUAUAAUUGUUUUUUUAAUAAAGAAGAAUUAUUUUAGUUUUCAAGUAUGUCAAAUAAUUAAUUUGUAUAUUAAAAUAUAAUAUUUACCUUUCAACAAUUUUUUCCCAUCUUUCUCUACUCAUGUGUUACACUAGGGACAAUAAGAACUAUAAAAAUUAAUUAGGGAUCAAAGUAGUAAUUUUCACGAGAGAUGAAAGUGUCAUUCUCCUAUAAGUAAUUUUAUAACCUAGAUCACAAUAAGAUUAAAUCUUUCAUUUUAUUUUUAUGGGAAAUUAUUUCUACAGUUGUAUUGAAUAUCUGUUACACACAUAGGGUGUGUUUGGCACACUGUAUUAUAUUAUUUUGUGAUUAAUUUAAUUUAAAUAUUAUAUUAUAUUAAUAUAUUUAAAUUGUAUUAACAUUUUAUAUUAUUUAUAUUAUUAUUAAUUUUAAAUUAAUAUUAUUCAAUUUUAUUCAUAUUUAAAUAUUUAUUAUUAGUUAUAAAUUAUAAAUUUAUUAAUAAAUUAUAAUGUAAAAAUAAAAAAUAUAAUAUAAUAUUAUUGAAUAAUAAAUUAUUUAUUUAUUAAUUUAUAUUAAUAAUUAUAAUGUAAAAAAAUAUUAUAUUAUAUUAAAAAUUAUAUUUAUUAUUAUUAUUAUUAUUAUAAAGCAAAAGCAAAAGUCAAAAGCAAAAAAAAAAAAAAAAACAAAGCUAAUGCGGCAAUUAGCUUAAACUCGACUCACAGUCGGGGUUUAGUGUUGAGUGUUAGAAAAUGUAUAUUUAUAAAGGAGAAAAUCGUCAUUUUACACUUCAAGUUUUACUAACACUCUUACUUUUAUGUAUUUAAGCUUCUUGUCAUUUAAUUAUGUGUGUUGUAUUAUAAUUAAGUAUUUUAUGUAUUUUAAAGGCAUCAUAGUCAUUUCACAAUGAACGAGAGAUCAGACGGUAAAACAGACAUCACUUUUGAACUCAGGACGGUCAAAAACCUUAGGAGGAGCAUAAAAAGAAAAAUGGCACUGUUCACAUGUACGGUACUGUCUACGUUACUGUUUACAACACUGUUCACAUAGACGGAACAAUGACGUGGCAUUGACCGAUGAUAUGGCAUUGACUGAUGAGGUGUCACGAUCUUGUUGGACUAAAAUUCUUAUGUACUGUUGAUCGAUGACGUGGCAGCAUAUCAGUGGACCAAAAAUCUCGCGUACGGUACAUGCAUUACAUAAGAUUAUUUUCAACAAAACCGCGUCACUGUUCAAGUUGGGUCAAACUGUGUUACUGUUCAAACCGCAUAAUGUUGACUAAUGACGUGGCGCAAUCCUGAGCGUCUAAACUGUUUUUAAUCCGAUAGCCAUGAUUUACUCAAUGUAUCUAUAAAAAGGGGACCUCCCCUCCCCCCCUUAAUUUGAUAUCUCUGAAUCCAUUUUUAGACUCCAUUUUCUGUAAUUCCUUCUCAAUCUUGUAUUUUCUACGUAUUUUAAUAAAUUUUCUUUUUGCCCCUAGUUCAAUUAUGAGCAGCUAAUUUUCUUUCAAGCUUGGGUUGAAGAUGAAGCCUCCACAUGUGUCAUGGGCUUUAUUUGAUAAAUUUAUUUUCUCUUCCCCUCUAGUUUUUAUGGAUGUUUUGACUUCUUGUCGACAAAUAAUAAUAAUAUUGUCUAGAUACCGCCUUUGUUUCACCGGCUCUCUAGUACAAGGUUAUUAUUAUUUAGCACGAUAAGUUCUUAGCACCAUAUUAAUUAGAGUGUGGUUCAUGAGGUGUAGAUUCCCCCCUCAUGAUUUAAUUGACAUUAAUAAGGAAUAUUUAGCCCAUGGUGCACGUUGAUACGAAUCCAGAUACCCAAGUACGUCAUUUCAAUAGAUUUCUCUUCAAUUUAUUCUCGCCAUUUUAAUUCCAAUUUUAGGAUAAUCUAAGUCACUUUCACCACAAAUCCAACCACCCUCAUACAAAAUUAAUUCUACAUAUAAUUAAAAUCCACCUCCUCGUGGGAUCGAAACUCAUCAUCAUUAAUCUAUUCUACAAUAGAUUCGUCACCAAUGACUCCUUAUUCAAGCCAUCUCUAAUGAAUUGAAUCUUAUCUUCCCUGUUAUCAGACAUCAUUCCUAAAGAACAUGGGUUUUUAUUGCAUCUCAUUCUGGCACAUUUAUGACAAGCAACAGAAAUUCUUCGAGCUCUUCGUUUUCUUGCAUAAUUUCCUUUACCACAACCAGGCAUGUAUGUAAUAAAUUUUGGAGGUAACUCACAUGCCAAUCGUACUUUAACCUCGAUUAACCAACGAAUGUCAGCAGGUAUGUUAUUCCACAUGAGCAAUCGCAUGCGUUCGGACCGAGCUUUAUAGAUUGUAAGGAGGGCAUUCUGAGGAAGUGAAGGGAAUCGAUUGUGAAGCUUUGCUAGAAUCUCGUUUCUGUCCAUACCUUCGCCUCAGAAUAUCAGUUAUUAUGGGAAACUGAAGUAACUGACUUGAUUGUCACGGAGUACCGUUAGUCUCAGGAAUCUGACUAUAAACGACCUUAUUUGCCAGUUUAUAAGAAAACGGGAUGGGAAGCCUAUCCUCGACCCAUAGAGGGUGUUCAAGCCGUUUCUGGACGUAAAACCAGAGAAAGAUGUGAGCCACAGUCGCAACUACCUGUAAAUAUCCUUUUACUUCGCUAUUAUUUUCUUUCACUAUUGUUUUAUCUUUUCCAUUAUUGUCUUUAAUAAUUUUAUCAUUGUUUCUUUUUCUUUUUAUUGUUUCCUUUUUGACUCGCGAGCCGUGUGCUUUACGCGUUAUUUGACACUGACAUGCCACCUCAUACACAGUUGUGACCCACUGUCACCAAGAUUCUUAAAUAUGACUUUUUGUUAAGCACUCAUAAAUUAUUUUUGAGAAAUAUUCCAAUGGCAGUUACUCCCAAUAGACAAUUCAAGAACAUUUGUGUUCUUUCUAGAUUUAACAUUGGCAAACAUAAAGAGUUCGUUGAGGCAAUCAUAGAUCUUGGUCGAAGCAUAGCAAAGCGAUUAGCCGCAUACCAGCAGAGGGUUGCUCGUUACUAAAACCAGAAGAUGCGUGUACGACAGUUCAAGGUCGGCGAUUGGGUACUUAGGAGUAGGGGUGGGCAAACAGUUCGGUUCUAUGAGCAAAAACCGAAUGGUUUAAAAAAUACUGAACCGAUUGGUUUUAAUUCGGUUCGGUUCAAAACCGAAUUGAACCGAAAAACCGAUCGGUUCGGUUUAAUUCAAUUACAAAUAUUUAAAAUCAAAUUUCAAUUUCAAUCACAAAAUUCAAAUCCCUAAAGCUAAAUCGCGAUUGCAUACUUCCCUUGCCUCUCUCCCUCGCGCCUCUCCCUCACGUCUCUCUCUCCUCACGGCGGAGCUCCACAACGGCGGCACCACCCCUUGGCAGUAUCUUCCCCCUCUGCGCGUGCAUGGUGCGGUUCGGCUCAGCCCCUCUCGAUCUCUUCCUCGCGUCUCUUCCUCGUCUCACACCACGGUCAGCGCCUAACACAGCCCCUUAGUAGCAGCACAGCCCCUCCCCUCAAGUACAGCGACGCCGUCGUUAACCCUCAGCUUGGUUGCUGCAGCAUCUGGAAGGUACAUAUGCUCCUUGGUCCAAACCUCCUGGCUCCUGCCAUCAGCCCGCGUCUUUAAUCUUCACUGCUGCAGGUUUUUUUUUUUUUUUGUUAAUCCAUGUUGUGGACUUGGUUAAUAGUUUGAAGUUUAUGUUGGUGUAUAUUGGUUGUUGGCAGUGUGGAAAUUGGAAUUGUAUAAUUGUAUAUGUGUCGAAUUGUAACAUAGUGUGGAAUUGCUGGCACGGCAGUGUGGAAUUGUAUAAGUUAUGAGAAAACGAUCGAGAAAUGCUUCUAAUUUCAUUGACUAUGAUUAAUUUGGGAAAAAAGCUUUACAAUGAUUCCGUGUCUGUUUGUGUUUGAAAGGAAUGUUUUUGUAUUAGUAAGCCAUUCAGUGAUUCCAGGAGCAGAAUCACAGUAAGCUCCCCAGACACAAUUAUUCUAAGCCUUUAAAAAUUUGUAGACUAGUUUUUCAAUUUCUUUUAGACUUUCUCUUCUCACAGUUUAAGCGUUGCUCAUGCCACUGGAAUUGGUUACUUCAAUUCCAUUACUAGGCCGAAUAAUUAAAUGAAAUAGAGCUUGUGCCUUUCUUGUGGAGCCUUACAUAUUAAAUUUGAUUCAAUAAUAAAUAUUAAGAAUAUUCAAUUGAAUAUAACUUGCGGAAGGUAUAUUUUGUAAAACUUUAAUUUAAAUUUCUGUAAUGGCUUGGGAAAGUUGAUUGAGAUUACCCAAAUGUGCUUAAUUCAGUUCAAUACUUCAAAUUAUUAAAUAAAUCAUUUUUCUUAUUUCUUUUUAUUUGAUUUAUUUUAGAUGUCUAAUUAUUCAAGAGUUCAAGACAACCUUGAUUGUGUAGCCGAUGAUUUGGAACAUGAAGUUGAAGUUAAUGAUAAUGAAAAUGAUUCGGCAACAAUUGUCACUGGUGGAAACAAGCGAAAAAAGUCAUCCUCAUCCAAACCACCACUACCAAGGAAAAAAAUGGCUCCAAGAUCACCUGUGUGGCAACAUUUCACUAGAGUUCCAAAUGAUCAUACAAAUUGUAAAUGCAACUACUGUGGUCAAGAAUUUGAAUGUGGGACGGUCGGGUACGGGACUAGCACUUUGAGAACUCAUAAUCGUGAAAGAUGUCAAAAGUUCAAGGACUUGCAAAAAAACCAAACAAUAUUAACUCAAGAUGUUGGUAGUGAUGAAGUUGUAGCAAGGGGAUUUAGUCAAGAAGCUUGUAGACGGGCAACCGUGAAAAUGAUUGUUCUUGAUGAAUUGCCUUUUUCUGUUGUGGAGAAUGUGGGUUUUAGGCAUUUCUGUAGUGUUGCAGCUCCGAGAUAUCUUCUCCCAUCACGAAGAACCAUUAGUAGGGAUACUCUUGAGAUGUAUUUGGAGGAAAAAGUUAAGUUGAAGAGUUUAUUAGCGGGGAAUAAGCAGAGAGUAUCUUUGACCACGGAUAUUUGGACUUCCAUUACAACAGCUAGCUACAUGGUCAUCACCGCUCACUUUAUUGAUAGAGAUUGGAACUUACAUAGGAAGAUUAUCAGUUUUAACACUGUUAAUGAUCAUUCAUCGGAGACCAUUGGUAAGCAACUUGAAAAAUGUUUAAUUAAUUGGGGUAUCGAGCGAGUGUUUACUGUAAGUGUUGACAAUGCAAGUCCAAAUGAGGGUGCUCUUAGGUACUUGAUUGAUAGAGUGAAGACUUGGAGGGAUGAUGGCUUAGUGUUGAAUGGAGAUUAUUUGCAUGUUCGUUGUUGUGCACACAUAUUGAAUUUGAUCGUUACUGAAGGGUUGAAGGAAUUAGAGCAGAGUAUAGUUAGUGUUCGGAAUGCGGUGAAGUAUGUGAGAUCUUCCAUUGCUAGGAUGCAAGCAUUUCAAAUUCGUGUGCAACAAGAGAAGAUUAAAUGUUGAGGAAGUGUGAUUUUGGAUUGUCCCACUAGGUGGAAUUCAACAUAUUCCAUGUUGAAUACGACAUUAAAAUUUAAGCCGGCAUUUGAUCGAAUGGCACUUGAAGAUAAGCUUUAUGAUGCUUAUUUCAAUAAAAAAGAGGGUGGAAAGAAGAAAAGGGAGGGACCGCCAUUGUACAGUGAUUGGGAAAAUACUCGACGCAUAAUUAAGUUUUUAAAGACGUUUCAUGAUGCGACUUUGCAAUUUUCUUCAUCUUUGAAGGUAACAUUAAAUCUUUAUUAAUUUUUUUUAAUUUUUGAUAUAUAAUAAUCUGAUGAAGUUUAUUUUAGCUUUAUUAACAUUGUUUUUAUUUAUAUAAUAGAAUAUAAAAGAUAAUUAAAAAAAUUCUAUAAGCUAUAUUAUUUUUUUUAUGAGCUAUAUUUUUUUAAUUUUUGAUAUAUAAUAAUAUGAUGAAGUUUAUUUUAGCUUUAUUAACAUUUUUUUUUUUUAGGUGACAUCAAAUAUUUGUUACAAUUUGAUAUGUCAAAUUGAACAAUCUUUGGGAUCAUUGUCCACUAGUAACGAUAGCCUUUUGAGUUUCAUGGCAAUUAAAAUGAAGGAAAAAUUUAAUAAGUAUUGGGAUGGUUGUUUCAAGAUAAAUAAGUUGUUGAUUGUUGCUUCCGUACUUGAUCCAAGAGGAAAAAUGAAAUUCGCAACACAUUGCUUUGAGAAAUUAUAUGGCAAGGAUAGUGCCAAAUGUGUUGAGAUGAAGGAAAUGAUCAAGAAUUUAUUGAUUAAGCUUUAUGAGUCUUAUAAUGCACAAUACAAACCGAGUGGAAGUGGGAGUGCAAGUGGAAGUGCAAGCGGAAGCACAAGCGAGAGCCAAAAUUUAACUAGUGGAAGUGGAAGUGGUUCGCAUUUUUGGGAUUUGGAUGAUGAUGAUGAUGUUAUGAUUGAGGAUCCUUUCUCCGAAUUUAGUAAAGCGGUUGCGGUUAGUGAAGGUAGCCCAGAGUUAUCAAAUGAGUUGGAUCUUUACUUGAUGGAGAAGACUGAAAAAAUUGCAAAAAGUAAUUUGGGCACUAAAUUUGAUAUUUUAUUGUGGUGGAGGGUGAAUAGUGCCAAUUACCCAAUCUUGUCAAGUAUAGCAAGGGAUGUUCUUGCUAUUCCGGUGUCUACUGUUGCCUCUAAGUCUGCCUUUAGUACUGGAGGUCGUAUAUUAGAUCAGUAUAGAAGCUCUUUGACUCCAGACAUGGUGGAAGCAUUGGUAUUGUUACAGAAUUGGUUGCGGACUUCUCUUUUUGUGGAUACAACGACGGACCUAAAUAAAUUAGUUGAAGACAAUGAGUUUAUGGAUCAACUUGCGGAAGGUAUAUUUUGUAAAAUUUUAAUUUUAAUUUACUUUUUAAGUAUUAUCAAUAUUAUAUAAUUUGUUUAAUUUUAAUCUAAGUUUAUUUUUUAAGUAUUACUAACCUUGUUCAAUUUAUCCAAUUUUUGUAUGUAGAACUUCGCAAAUCAACAACAGUCGACCAACUUUGUAGGUCAACAUGAAAAUUGCGGUUGAACAUAAACCAUUUUAGGUAAUUAAAUUGAUAUAUAUUUAUUAAUUAAUUAUUAAAUCGCUUUAUUUUAUUUAGUUUAAUUAUUGAGUGCUUUGGCUUAUUUUGAAAGUUUGAAUUUUGAUGUAGGUGAUGUGGGUGGCGGAUGAAAUUGUUGCUUGUGUAUUGAAGUUGAAGGCUUCUCUUAUUUUGUUUUGUUUAGACUUUAGAGUAUGGGAUUUUCAUGUAGAUGAUGUGGGUGGUGGAUGAAAUUGUUGCUUCUCUUAUUUUGUUAUUUACUUGAUGGCUUUGUAUUAGGACUUUUGUUAUUUUGUUUUUUACUUGAAGGCUUUGUAUUUGAAGUUGUUGAUUGUGUAUUGUAGACUUAUUGUGUUUUAUUUUUCUUGUUGUGAACUUAUAUUCUGUAAAAUGUAGGGAAAAAUUGUAAAAUGCAGUAAAAUUAGGCGAAAAUUGUAAAAUGUAGUAAGAUUUGGUUAAAACUGUAAAAUCCAUAAAUAUGUGCGAACCGAACCAAACCAAACCAAACCGAACCGAAUUUUAGAACCGAACCGAAAUAUUUCGGUUCGGUUCGGUUCUAAAAUUCGGUUCGAUUUGGUUUGAAUUUUUUAGAACCAAUUGGUUCUGGUUUGGUUCGGUUCGGAGCCCGAACCGAACCGAACCGGAAAAUGCCCACCCCUACUUAGGAGGAUGAAUCAGAACACAAAAGACUCGACACAAGGAGUACUCGGUCCUAACUAGGAAGGGCCAUACAGAGUCAAACAGAUGGCUAGACCCGGAGCCUAUAAGCUCGUCCGCGCAGAUGGCCAUGAGGUAAAACGACCGUGGAACGUAGCGCAUCUCAAGAAAUAUUUCCAGUAAGAUCCAAUUAUGCUUAAGAGUUAUUUAUUUCCUAUUGUCGUUUAUUUCAAUUUCAUGUAAGUCGAGUUCAGUAAUCAAUGGAACGUGGAGGAAUUUCAUUCAGUUGUCAUCGAUGUAUAUAUAUAUCUGGUUGUCAGCUUCCUUCUCUAAGUUUUCGACCUGAGUCUGGUGAGAAGCACUGAGGGAUUCGAGCUGAGCUUCGUAGGUAGCCUUUUGCGUCUGUAAGUCCUCCUUAACCUUAUUCAGCUUCUCUUCAAGAGUGAUAGCCUUUUCCUGCGCAAGGGACUCUCGCUCAAUCAGCUUAAUAUUCUCAAUGUUAAGAUCUUCAGCUUUCUUCUCUGCAGCGUUAACCUUGCUUUUGGCUGAUUGAAUGUCUUCUUUCAUUCUUCAGUCGUAACGGCCGACCUUCGCCUUAUAAUAAGUGGUCAUACAACCGAGAUGAAUGACAUUGAACUGCAUAGCCCUGACCAUCUCGCCUAGAGUGCUGCAAUCAAAUUCCUUCAAGUCUUUCUUGCUCACGAGCCUAGAAAACUCGCUGAUAUAAAGGACCAGCUUUGGUCGAUUAUCGGGCAGACGAGGUUUUAGGCCUGCAGGUAGAGGCGGAGAAAUAAGAUCAACGCCACUGGUAGUCCCACUAGUUUCGCCGGUCUUGGGAGGAGGAGGUGGUAGAGUCUUCAAAGAGGCGACUUGCUCCGCAAUGUUAACCUGUUUGCCAAGAGGAGCAACCUUAUGGUGAUCUCGCUUAGCAGCAUUGGGACGAGGAUGUUUCAUGUUUAUAGCCCCGAUCACAGCGUCCUUCAUCUCGAGGUCAGUGGGUAUCAGACGAGAUUCGAACAAGUUGUAAGUGGACAGCAAUUCUCUGCACGAGCAGGAAUUGGCCAACACAAUCUCAACCCGCUUGAGCACGUCAUGCUUGAGUUUGUAGUGGACGCCCCAAGAACCUGCAGCUCGAGCAAAGACAGUGUCAGAGAUAGAUCAAUCAUAAGAAUAACUAAGGGUACAAGACAUCUAAAACGAGCGGGCCAUCUGGAACUACGAAACGGGAGGGGACGCGAACAUUCUCCCCAUCAAUUUGUGCCACAUGACCCCAGGGACCCCCAGCAAAAAAAAAAAAUUUCUUCCAAUUCCCACCACCAUAUAUUGGAAGAUCAGUUAUGGGUUUACUGGUCUUGGUGCUUGACAUGAAAUAAUACCAACUAGCGUCUUUGGGGCUGCUCUUUAACUGAUAUAGGUGUUUGACCUCAUCAACCGUGGGCUCACUCUGACAGCAUCUGCUCCACAAAAUGAACAGACCAGAAAGUACUCUCCACCCAUUAGGGUUAAGCUGACCAGGAGCUAAGUGCAACCCACUAAGCAUCUGGACGAAAUAAAGUUGUAAGGGCAGCCUCAUCCCAAACUUAAAAUUUUCCAGAAACAGGGUAACAUAUCCCCUAGGAGGUCGGUUGGGAGUAUCCUUUUUACCUGGAAUCCUAAGAUGUAUACCAUCAAGGAUGUCAUAAAUAGUUCGAAGAUCUAUGAGGUCCUCUGUUGUGGUCAUACAGGUCAUGAGGUAAAUAGCAUAGUUUUCUGCUAGAGCUCUACCCCCUAGAUUCCUCUUCUUUUCUGGUCGUGAUACCUCUGGUGAGGAUGCUUCACCAGAGUCUUCACCCGGGUCCUUACUUAGAGUAUCCUCCGAACAAGAAGACUCGUCACCGUCGCUAUUUGAAGUGGUUGCUUCAGGAGACAUUCUCCUAGCACUAGUCCUUAUAUUACGUCUUAUCGGUUUUAGAGGAAUCCCAGGGUCAAAAGCGGGAUCAGCGAGUAGACCAGGUAGGAAGUCUAACUCGUCAUCAUCAACCUCAAUCACUUUUUCUUUGCCUUUUGACAUUCCCUAAACUCUAUCCGAAAUGACACAACCGAACCCCACUCAAAAUAACAACAAAAAUCCAAAGUUGGGAAGGAGAAAACAGUACCUGAAGUAGUGAAGCACCAAAACGGAAAUAAGAACGGUAGUUUGAAUUUUGGAGAGGAGAGGAUCACCGGCCGCCGGAGGAUGCGAAAGAGACGGAUGAGGAAAAGAACACUUUAGAGAGUUAGGGUUUUGAAGUGACGGUGAUACUUUCGGUUUAUUGCCAUUCAAACGGCACGUGCUCCGAGGGUUCCACAACUAUCAAUUUGAAAUUCAAACGGGUGGACGGAUUCCUGCCACCUCUUCCGCAUUUAAUUGCGAAGUGACUCUUCGAGGAAGCAGUCUGCUAGUGGCAAAAGGGGAAACGACUAAGCGGGAGUGAGCAAUAUCCUUAUUUCUUACAGCCAAGUCAGAUGUGCCUCAAGAAAGCCCAAACUAAUCAAGUUUCUAGUAUUAAUCCAUUGCAUUGCAAAUACUAGAAACGGGGGACCGGUGUUUAAGGGAUUUAUAACAACGAGACCAGUCAUACCUUGGACGAGGAGUCAGCCUCCUUACAAGAGAGCAAAUAGGUGAAAUCUGGUAGCGGGUAUCCACGAGCAGGAAUUUUCUACUCGACCACGAGGACGAGAUGGUCUCUUGCUAGGAGCCGACAGCUUUCCCAACUGAAGAUCGAGGUCGGCAGACCCAGUCUAUAACGGUUAACGAAACGCGCACUCCAACCGAGAAUAUAGGCACGAAACCCACUCAGUCGCAACUACGAUAUUCAAGCAUCCACUUCCGUGAGCUGGGGAAAGUGAUGUGAGUGGAUCGUGGGGGAUUGGAUUCACAGGAAGGCUAUAAAAAGGUAAUCAACAAAGGUAAACGAGUUAGACAUUUUCACAUUAGAACUUAAGAAAAAGCAUAUUUAGGGAGACAGGAGAGAAAAGCUCAAAGGCACUUUUACUGCCUACUGCCUAAGAGACCAAAAAAUAGCCACGAGAUCAGUGGUCAAGUUUCCCAAAAAAGUAAACCGACUUUUCUGACUUGAGCGUCGGAGGGUUUACGCUGGGAGUGCUCUGACCAGUUUCUGUGUGCGCAGGAGUCUGCUGAAGUUGAAGUCAUACGAGGUGUUGUUCUGCUCGGUGAGAAGAGUUACGAGGAGAAUCUACAGUUGAUCGAGAGUUCGAGAGUUGAAGAAAGAUCCUGGUUGUGCACGAGCAGACACCAGAAUCUCGCAUCAACAUGUAGUAUUACAAAUAUUAAAAAUAUGAUUUUUUUAUGAAAAAGUUUAAAUUUAUUAAAUUGGUGACUCAAUUAUAGGAUGAAAUGAAUUAAUUGAGUUAAGCAGGAUUAGAUUUUUUUAUACAAUUAAUAAAUGGAUCAAUGAGGGUGGGCAAAGUAACUUGACUUGACUCGAUCCAAAAAAUUCAAGUUCGAACUAAAUAAUGACUCCAACCUAAUCGAGUUGGAUUAUGGCCAAUCUGAUUGGAUCUAAUCGUGAACCCAAUCCAAUUCGAAACACUAUGCACACAUAAAUAAUAUACGACACAAAUUUUUUAUUUGAUUCAAUCCGAACUAUAAUUAGGUCAGAUAGAAUAGGAUUACAAGUUUGAAUUGAGUUUAAAUUACCUUUUUUUCCCAACCCGAUUAACUUGAAACCCAAUCAAAUUGAUAUAGACUAGACCCGGUCCGAACAUGAAUUUGCUCGUUCUUAGAAUCUGAGUGUAAAUGGGCUCAAAUUUAACACCCACAAGAAGGCCCAAGAAAUUAGAUGCAGGCCCAAGCCAGCAAAUGAUUAGGUGCAUGUGGCUUUCUUUGACUAAUACAUCCAUAACGUUGCGACCUUAUUCGUCAAAGUUUGUUAAAUCACUAGAACAUUUCCACCAUCCUCUUCUUUUAUUUUCUUUUUUUCCUUGUCUGUCUUUGUCUUUAUAAUUUGUCAAAAAAAAUAAUUAAUUAUAAAUAAAAUAAAAUAAAUACUAACUUUAACUCAAUUUUAGCCACUCGUUGCAUGAGGAGAGGUAAAGACGAAAGGUAAAAAUUAAAUAAAUAAAAAACCUUAUCCUAACAAUAAACUGAACAAAAGGAUAAAGAAGCAAAAUCAAAACCACCGUCCCCAAGACUCAUGUCAUGAUUACACCAUGUUACCAUUAGAAAAAAUAAAUGCCAAAACAAUCGGGUGCACACUUAUUUGUAAUGAAUCAUGAUUUUAUCUUGCUCCAUAAUAAAGGAUAUACAGCCAGAGUUGGUAAUAUUUCAUUUGUUUUAUUAAUUCGACACAAAUAUGAUAGGAAUAAAUAAGUUUAGACAGUUAAAUUUGAUAAAAUUAUUAAAAUUGUUCGUAAUUAUGAUACUUCAGUUAAUAACCAUGCCGAGUUCAAGUUUAGAGUUUACGACACAAUAACCUAUUUAUGACAUAAUUAGUUGUUUUAUAUUGACUUAUUUUUUAGUUAAAGAUAUAUAUAUUUGUCAUAUUUAGAACAAAAUCAAUUAGAGUUUAAGAAUAGUACUAAUAAUAUUAAAAAUAUAAUUUUUAUUAAAAAAAUUAAAUUUAUUAAAUUGACGACUCAAUUAUUGAAUGAUAACAAAUGAAUUGAUUAAGCAGGAUUAGAUUUUUUAUACAAUUAAUAAAUGGAUCAGCAAUGGGUGGACAAAAUAGCUCGAUUUGACUAGAUCCAAAAAAAUUAAGUUCGGAUCAAAUGUAGAUGAAGACUCCAACCCUAUUGGAUCUUAUCGAUAACACAAUCUAAUUUAAAACAUAAUGCCAUAUACAAACAAUAUAUGACACAAAUUUUUGAUCAAUAUGAUCAUAUUCGAAUUAUACUCAGUUCAUAUCAAAUAAAAAUACAAGUUCGGAUUGAAUUUAAAUUAUUUUUUUCAAUCCGAUUAACUCAAAACCUCAUCGAAUUAAUCCAAACCCAAUCCAAACAUAAAUUUGCUCAUCUACAGGACUUGAGUGUAAGUGAGCUCAAAUUUAAAACCCAUGAGAAGACCCAAGAAAUCAGAUGCAGCCCAACCCUGCAGAUGAUUAGGUGCAGGUGGCUUUCUUUGACUAAUAAAUCCAUGACGUUGCGAUGUCAUUGGUCAAAGUUCGUUAAAUCACUAGAGCAUUUCCACCAUCCUCUCCUAUUUUUUAUUCUCUCCUCAUCUCUCUUUAUCUUUGUAAUUAGCGGAAAAAAAUUAAUUUAAUUAUAAAUGAAAUAAAAUAAAUACUAACUUUAACUCAAUUUUAGCCGCUCAUUGCAUGAGGAGAGGCAAAGAACGAGAGGUAAAAAAUAAAUAAAUAAAUAACCGUAUCCUAACAAUAAACAGUAUAAACUGAACAAAAGAAUAAAGAAGUAAAAUCAAAACCCGUCGUCGCCAAGACUCAUGUCAUGGUUAUACCAUUUAAAAAAAAUGCCAAAACAAUGCGACGCACACUUAUUUGUAAUAAAUCAUGAUUUUAUCUGGUUCCAUAAUAAAGGAUAUGCAACCAAAGUUGGUAUUAUUUGAUUUGAAUUAUUAAUUCAACAUAAAUGACACGACUUAAAAGUGUUUGUUUUACUCUCAAAUAUAAGAGUGUCUAGUUAUAAUAUAUUUCGGUGAGUCCGAGGUCGAUCCACAGAAAAAGAUUUAAUUUGUUUAUUUUAUUUUAUCUAAAAUUUGAAAAUAAAACUUAAAUAUAAACAACUUAAUUUAAAUAAAAUUAUGAAAUUGAAUUAGUUAGGGUUGUGGAUUCACUCUUAGUAGUAAAUAAAACUUGAUAAAUUCUUUUUGCCAUUUUUUAGAUUUAUUGCCCAAAAGAUUAAUUAUAUAAAUUAUUAUUAUUUUCCCUUUAAUUUUAUGAUAGAUUAAGUAUUCAUUGUGCCAAAAUUUAAUUUGUCUACAAUAAGUCAAAAUACCAUUUUACCAUACCUUAUAUUUUGAUAAAAAGAAUUUAUUGUGCCAAACUCCCUUGUUUGUCUACAAUAAAUCAAAAUCUCAUAAUAUAAAAUAUGUAUAAAUUAAAUAGAAAAUAAUUUAAUUUAUAAAAUUAAAAAUAGAAUUUCAUUAAAUCUUAUUUAUUUCCUAAGAGUUUCACCUUCCCCUAACUAUUAAUAUUUAGCUAAACAUGUUUUUUAUAAAGGAAAUUAUUGAAAUUGAAAAACACAUAAUUAAAAAUGAAAUUUGAAAAUUGAAAUAAAACUAAUUUUAUUGAUUGAAAAUAAAUUACAAAGAGAGAUGAGAAGAAGAAUUUGUGGGAAAAGAAGAGAAGAAAAUGUGUGGAGAGGUGUAUUCACCCCCCUCUAUUUAUACUAAUACAUGGUAAAUCCACACCACACAAAUAAAAAAAAUCUAAUUACAUUUUAACCUUACAUUUGUCCCACUAAUAAAACAUAAACCUAACUUAUCAACUCAAGCACAUCCAACACAUUCCACUAACAAUUACCAUACCUAAUAUGAUAAAAACUUAUAAUUUUACAAUUACCACAUUUACCGUGGUAAAAACGUUAAAAAAAAACAACAAAAAUCUUGGAUCUUCCUCGACAAUGACAUAAUUUCUCGGACUUCCGGAAUCUAAAUUUGACAUCCAUGUAUUAGUUCGGAGCCUCAAAUUGCAUGAAAUUAUUAUUUUUACCUAAUAAACAUACAAAAAUACACAAAAUCAAAUAUUUAGAAAAAUAAUUAGAAAUUCACAAUAUGUUACACAAUUACAAAUAUAAAUUACAUUAAUAAAACAAAAUAACAUUUUUAUCCCUUAAUAAACAUACAAUUUUUAACACUAAUCAAUAAAUAUGUCAAGAAUAAAUAAGUUUAGAAAGUCAAAUUUGAUAAAAUUAUUAAAUUGUUCAUAUUCAUGUUACUCGGGCUAAUAAUCAUGUCGAGUUUAAGUUUAGAGUUUCUGACACAAUAACGUGUUUAUGUCAUAAUUAGUUGUAUUAGAUUGACUUAUAUUUUAGUCAAUAGAUGAUAUAUGUUACAGUUUUCGUAUUUAGAACAAAAUCAGUUAGAGUUUAAGAAGGUAGUACUACAAAUAUUAAAAAUAUGAUUUUUAUGAAAAAAAUUUAAAUUUAUUAAGUGGUGACUCGAUUAUCACAUGAUAAUGACUUAAUUGAGUUAACCAAGAUUAUACUUAUAUACAAUUAGUAAAUGAAUCGAUAAGGGGUGGAUAAAUAAUCUGACCCAACCCAAUCCAAAAAAUUUGGACCCAAAUUGGAUGCAGAUUACUCUAAUCUUGUCGGGUUGGAUUUUGGCCAACCGGAUCCAAUCUGAAACACCAUGCACACACAAACCAUAUAUAACAUAAAAUCUUGACCGAUUCAAACUUUAUUUUUAUCAGACCAGAUAGGAUUAUAAGUUUAGAUUGAAUUUGAAUUAGUUUUCUCUCAAUCCGAUUAAUCCAAAAUCUGAUCAAGUUGAUCCGAACCUAUUCCGAUCAUGAAUUUACCCAUCUUUAAGAUAUGAGUGUAAGAGAACUCAAAUUUAACACCACAUGAAAUGGACAUAAACAUGACCCACGAACUUUAUUGCCACCUAAAACAACAACCUAAGAAGUUCCUUGAUAGCUAGUAUGAACUUAAAAAUAAUAAUUAUAAUAAUAAAAUGCUGAAAAAAAUUUUAUGAACUGUUUGAAAAAAACUGGGAACUAGUAUGGGACCGUGGAGGUGCAACUGGAGGAGGCUGGGCAAGCAGCCCACCAUUUUUGCACAUUUAUCUAUUUAUGUGGAUAAGAUAAGAAAUUUCAAUUACAGUUUAUAAUAUUUGUCAGUCAAAUCCAUUCAUCCACAGUUUACUCCUGAAAACACAGGCUCGCUACCUGCGGUUUCUUAAUUUCUGCUUCAUGUCAUUUUCAUCUAGCAGCUAUGGAUAAAGCUUUAGCAGUCCACACCAAACCAUAUCCAAAUACCAAAUUAUUAAUUUGUGUAUUCAUCGUAUAGAAAAUGAUGAUAACAGUUCCUAAUAACAACGAAGGUUUGUUUGAUUAAACAAAAUGUUUGCGAUAUGUAACAAAAAAUUAUUUCUUAACUAUAAUGUUGUGAUAGUUAUAAUAAAAAAAUAAUUAUAUCAUUACAAACUCAAAAAAAUGUUGUUUUAAAUUUAUUUUUUAAUAUGGCUCUGUCACUAAUUAAAAUAUUUAAGAUGUGUUUGGUAUAUCACAUUACAUGAGAUUAUAUUAAUUAAUGUAAUGUAAUCUCUUGUUUGAUAAAUAUUCUUGUUCACAUUAUGGUGACAUAAUAUGAAUACUGCCACAUUAAGUAAAACUGAGGGGUCUAGUUUAUAUAAUAUGCCACUGUUUAUAUUGACUUUUUAAAGUUUCUUUAAUUAAAAUAAUGAAAUUAAAUAAAAAAUAUUAUAAUAUUAAAUAAAAUUAAAAACUCAAAUGUGUUCCCGACGGAUAGUUCGAAGAUAGUCGGCCACCAGUGACCUAUGCAUAAAAUCGUGCUUUGCACUAAAAUUUGGAGUCAUUAAAAUUCUUAUUAUCGGGAUUACGUAAUCAUGCAAUUAUUACUGACAAAAAAACUUUCGUUUAUUGUAAUUUAACAGUCAAAAUUUUGAAAACAAAAACUUUAAGGGUAGAUCUACGGCAAAUAAAAAUUCAUUUCCUAAUAAUAGUUACAUCAUUGUAUAGCUUCGACAUUAAAAAUUAUAACAGUACUAAAAUAUAGUUCAAAUAACACUAAAAGUACAGCUACCAGCGGCCGCUUAUGGUGGCCCGCGGUUAAAAUUAUUUAUUUUAAUUACAAAAAUUUAAAUUAUUUUUAAAUAUAAAUAAAUCUUAAUUAAUUUAAUAUUACUUAAAAAUAUUAUUUUAUAUUAUACAAUUCAUAUUACACCAAACAUAAUAUUAUAAAAUAAUAAAUAGAAUACAGCUUAAUCCAGUAAAACUAAUAUACAGCACAAUACAGAGUCAUAAAUACGCUGUAAGACACACCAGAGAAAGAGGGCGAUAACGAUACGACAUCGUCUUGACCAUACUCAAGGGAAACAAAGGAAAACAAAAGAAAUGAUGGAAGAAACAAAAAUGCAAGUGGAACUGGAAUGUACAGUUUAGGAUAAGAAUGCCUUGGAAUUUGAGAAAGUUUCCAGAAUCCUUAUCCAUCCCUGCAACGUCAUCCAGCCUCUUGACCGUUUUUAAAAAAUAAAAUAAAACAAAAAGACAAGAUGGCCGCUUGAUAAAUCAUUAACUCCACCGCAUGUCCCUGGACCUUAUUAUAUAUAUAAAAAGGGUAGUCUGGCUAAUUCUUUCAUUCUCUCGUUGCAUCAUUAAUUUCUCAAGAAAGGAAAUUUUGUUAUAAAGAUAUGUUGGCGAUAUUUCACAAGGCGUUUGCCAAUCCGCCUGAGGAGCUUCAUAGCCCUGCGUCUCAAAAAUGUUCGAAGAGGCCUAAACUCCCUGAGGAUACCCUCAGUGACUUCCUCUCCCGUCACCCUGAUAACACUUUCUCCAUGAACUUUGGCCAUGCUGCUGUUCUUGCUUACGUUCCCCCUCACUCCCCUUUAACCAAGGACCGAAGGUUGUUUUGCGGGUUUGAGGACAUAUACUGUCUGUUCAUGGGGUCCUUGAACAACUUGUGCUCGCUGAUCAGGCAAUAUGGGUUGUCAAAGGGAACCGAUGAGGCCAUGUUUGUGAUAGAGGCGUAUCGUACGCUCAGAGACCGGGGUCCUUACCCAGCUGACCAGGUUGUCAAGGAUCUUGAUGGGAGCUUUGCUUUUGUGGUCUACGAUAGCAAGGCCGGCACGGUCUUCACUGCUCUGGUAGGUUAGGGUUUACUCGAAUGUACGCGCAGAGCAGACUCCUUUGGUUUCAUAAAUGAUUAAGCAGAAUUCUUUUUGUUAAUGAAUUAUUUAAUUUUGCAGGGUUCUGAUGGGGGAGUGAAGCUGUACUGGGGAAUUGCAGCCGAUGGAUCUGUGGUCAUAUCUGAUGACUUGGAGGUCAUCAAAGAGGGAUGUGCCAAGUCAUUUGCUCCCUUCCCACAGGGUAAGUUAAAUAUUUUCUCCCAUUAUUGGCUAUAAGAUGAUGAAACAGGGGUGUGUUGUUACACUUGCACAAUUGCAUUUUGCAGGGUGCAUGUUCCACAGUGAAGGAGGAUUGAUGAGCUUUGAGCAUCCAAUGAACAAGAUAAGGGCAAUGCCAAGAGUAGAUAGUGAAGGUGUCAUGUGUGGAGCCAAUUUCAAGGUUGAUAAAUACACUAGGAUCAACAGCAUUCCACGUGUGGGAAGUGAAGCAGACUGGACUAAUCAAUGGGACUCACAUUAAUUUAUCAAUUAAGGAUCAAUUUGAUUGAUCUUGCUGUGAAUUUGCCUACUUCCAACUCAAAAGCUGAAACUACUACCUUUCAUUUUUCCUUCUAUUAAGUUAAAAAUAAAGUUGUUACUCACUCUUGGAGGUUCUUUUGACCUUUUUCUUUGAUAGAGUGUUUUUCUUGUUAUGUGGGCAAUCCGCAAUUGUGUAUAUAUUAUUAAUCAUGUUUGGGUUCUAAUUAAUUUGACUUGUGUAAUGGAAUGAAGUUGUCGUUUGCUAGUUUGUGGCUUAAGCAUUACUAUGACCGUUAAUAAUUAUUAUUUUGGUGUAUGAACGUUCAAUGGCACACCAAAACUAUGUCGAGGGACAUCAGCUGAUGAGUACCAAACUUUCAAACAUACCGAUUGGAUUUUGUAAGAUUGUUAAAUUUUGAAAAGUUGCGAAGUUACGCUUUUGAUUCCUUUCCAAAUUGAAAAAAUAAUAAUAUAAAGUGUUUUUUUAUUAUUUUUGAAUAUAGCAUUACCUCAUGAAUGUAAAAUAGCAUCACUUCAUGAAUAAAAUUUUUUCUAAAUUCUUUUGCUUUGUUCAUCAAGUCUACUACUUUGCGUUACUGUGAUCUUACUGAAUAUUCGGAGGUUAAAAACUCAAAACUUAAUGUUAUUUAUAUGCUUUUUUUUUUUUUAACAAAAGACAUUGUUUUAUAGACACAAGGUCAUAAUAAUAUAAUUUGUACUGGGAAUCUUUUCAAUUUUAUUUUUUACCCACUUAGUAAUUUCUCGGCAGUAUCGCAGGAAACAACACCCAGCAAAUCUCUUAUAAUUUAAUACAAAUUGGCUGGUACCAGCUGCAAUUUCUCAUCAUUUUGUCAACUCAGCUGAUGAUGUAGAGAACUUUUGAAAAGAAUAAUCUUAGUACCUUUGCUCUUUUCAGAGAAAAAUUUUAAUCAUCAAUGCUAUUCCACUAAACAAGAAUAAUGAGGAACAAGAUUCAAGAUACAGAUGACGCCACAACAAACAUCAAUUUCCUAAUUCUACUAUAUAGGUGAUCAACACUGGGAUCCGAAAAUAGAAAAUGGCCUGGAAAGGCAGGAGAGGUCGUUUAUCAUUCAUAAGAUGUCUACAAAAAGGUGGUUCAACUGUAUUCUGCUUGUUGUUUCACCGGAACAGAAAGCAUCAUGUAAACAUCAUUCCUUCCACAUAUCAGCAAAUUCAUCAGGUUCCAAUGGAUUGGAAAGCUCGUGCAUCUUUCUCCUUGUCUUAGCUUUAACUUUCUUGGCAUACUUCCCGGCCUUAUUCUUCUUCUCCAGAGCUCUAAUCUGAAAGCAUUAAAACAAGAAGCAUAUUGCAUUAUUGCACGCAAGUAAAUUUAUACUCAAACAAGGUGAGGAUGGCAAGAACCUCUGCGCUAAAGUUCAAUAAAAAUAACAGAAAAUGGUGCCGACUACAUACCCUAGCAUGUCCAAAGACAUCCUACUAGUACCCAACGAAUCCAUUAGAGUCUUGAGUACUAUUUUGUCAACUAUGCAAAUACUACAUAGACUUUUGCGCUCAAAAUGAAGAAGAAAACUUAAAACCUUUCUGACCUGAUUUGGUGAUACAUAAAAUGGAUUCUCAUAUAGUGUUGGUCCUCCGAAGCUGCCUCCAAAUAUCUUAAUUGGAUUCAAACAAAAUCUUGGACCAACCUGCACAGAAUCAGUUUCCAAAAUUAUGCGACGAUUGCAAUACUUGCUACCACAAGUUUCACUGAAAGACAUAUGCAGCAAACCUCAACAAGGGUCAUUUUGUCCAGACCUCCCCGAGCCACCUUAUCUGAUUCAUUAUGAGGAACUGUAAUCUGUGAAGAAGAAGAAGAAUCAGAAAGGAUAGCAGCACUAAGAAGAAGAAGCUUCCCCACCCCCCACCCACCCCCCCCCCCCCCCACCAAAAAAAAAAAACCGCACAUCAGAAUUGCGUAAUUCACAAAGUUCAACUAGGAAAGGCACCAACCUGGUAAUUCCUGAACCAUAUGUGAUCAUCAACAAUGGAGAAAACAAAAACAUGAUCAUGGUAAGGCUUAGACUUCCUGUGCUCCUUUGGAGUUCCAAAUAUCUAAGAAAAAUGAAAAUCAGAACAUAAAAAGGUCUAUUCAUAAAUAUCUAAAAGACAUUGACUGAAUUGGCAAAGAACCAUCCAAGACAUUGUUUUCUAAUCAAAACAACUAUAGAACUGUGCACUCUUGAAACAAAGAUUGAGUAAUAUGGUAUUCAUGCCUGAAGCAUGCUAUAAGUUUCCUCAAGGUAUUUUAAAAGCCAUAAAUAUAAGACCCACAACCUAAAUAAGCUUUUCUCUGAUAGUUAGAAUGAGAUAAAAUGAAUAUGUCGGAGAAAAAUGGAUGUAAAACUAGGCAAGCAAAUUAACAGUAAGCGUAAUGCCACAUAGGAAAGAAUGCCAUAUCCACCAGACGAUGAUCAAGAAUUAGCAAAAGAACAAAAAUAUCGAAUACAUCGCGUGCACAGGUAUCAUUCAUGAAAACAUCUCUAGAUUAACACAUUGCAAUUGGUGAAGAGCAUUGGAGAAGCCUAGAUGACCAUUCCCAGAGCCAGAAUCCAUAUGCAAAACACAGACAGGACAAAAAUACUGCUUGCUUUAAAGGGAGGAAGCAAAAACCAAAGUACCUGAAUGAUCAUUUCCUUUAUAAGUUUCCAGUGGGCAUCUUUACCAAAAUUAGACGAGAAUGUCAGAAGAGGUCGUGACGCUUUUAGAUGGUUUCCAGUAAGCUUCAGUUCUUCCAUUGUGUGCACUAUAAUAAGAAGGCAAUUGUUAUAUGUUAGUUAUUUUUUUCCCCCCUCAAAUUGAUAACUAGAAAUAAAAAAUAAGAAGCAUCAAAAUUAUAUACACAGAAAACAACAAAUACUUCAGAUUUGCAAGAGUGUGUGUGUGUCAAAUACAAAUAUAGAUUCAGAAAUCAUGAACUUUAUACUUAUAAUGCAAUCUAAAGCUCUUAAGCCAAUAUGAUUUGAGAUCUAAUGAGAAAAUUACCCGCAUUUACUAAAAAUUUCACAGAUGGACCAUUGGGGCUCUUGGCCAUCCACAGAUAAAGGUCUUUAUGUUUCCUACACUGAAAUAAAGAGGGCAAAGAAUACAGUGUCAGACAUCAAAUUUAUAUCUGUAUGUUAGAGUAAUUAAACCUACAAGUGUGAACCAAACUUUCACUCUGAAAGCACUCCAAUAAAUUUGUAAAACUGCAACCCCCACAUAAUCGGAACAAUAACAGGUAGCAGACUCUUAAGACCCAAUCGAGAUUGGAAAUUGAAUUCUUAGUCCUUAAACUGAUUUAUUAACAUCCAACUGAAGCAGAAAGUUCUAUGCACUGAAGCUCUCUGCACUAUAUAGAUAAACAAAAAUUAUGGCAUGUGUAAGCAAACCAUUAAACGUCAGUCCUGUAAUUGGAGGAAGAAGUCUACAUCCCGCAUAUUAUAUUGCACAAUGUAAUUUUCAUGAAUGUUUCUAACUGACAGAAUUCGAUUCUCAUCAUUAUUUGGCAUUUGAAUAUAUAACAGAUUAGAACUAAACAUUCAAAACAAAACUUAAAAAAACCAUUACCUCAAAAAACAAGCAGGACGAACAGCUCUUGAGCUCAACAAGCUCAUUCAAAGUAGCACCUUUACUGCUUUUAGCCUCAACUUUAUUAUCCUUCUUACAGUGAGGCAAAAGCGACACCACAUUCAACAUCAAGUGCCUAUACCUACACAAACCACAAAAACAACCAAUACCCAGUGAUUAAUUCAACCUCUUGAAUCACAAAAACAACCCAAAAUUCAAUUCAAAUCAGAACAAAGCUCUCACCUGAAAUUGAUGCGACGCGAGCAAGUAACCAAAACCUUUUCUUUGUUUCUAAAAACACCUGGGGCUUCAGUUUCUUUUAUUUCAAUCUUGUCUUUCCAGCCCAAAAGCGUCCGCUUUGGCCGCUCUUCGGUAACACUGUCAUCUUUCUUUGUGGGUUCGAUAAUUUCAGUGUGCUUUCGUUUCUUCCCCAUAGCCUAAACAAUAUAGCGUAAAAAAAAAUAUAAAUAUUUGAAAAAUAAAGCAAAAAUUAUGAGAAAUAGAUAGAGAGAUCAAAGGGUUGCUUAGAAUCUUUUUUUUUUUUCCCUUUUUCAUUUACCUGAUUUUGCUUUUGCUGCUGCUGAGAAUGGAGGAAGAGAGAGAUGAUAAACCCUACUUAAACCUGUAACCAAAACUAGAGACGCCUAACGGGUUGUGAGCUAUUCGAGAAUUCAUGGGCUUUCUAUUCGGGCCUGAUCAGGUGCUCUUCAAACUCAAAAAUAUACUCUUCUUUUUUUUAAUGCAAAAACAAUCCAUUUAAUUGGCAUAUAAGUUUGAAAAUUAUUUUUUUUAUCUUCAUUUAUAUAUGUGUGUGUGGAAACAGGUGACUUAAAAGGGUGAUUUUGGUGUCAAACCUCCUCUUCAUAUAAACCGCAAUUUAAUUUUUGUGUUACUCAAAGGGUCACAGUGGAGGAAUGAUUAUAGAAUGUUAAAUUUAAUUUCAUAAUGAGGUGUGGAAUUUGUUUCUUUGGUGAAAAUCUCAAUUUAAUUUUAUCAUCAAAAAUUGAAGGCAUAAAUGACAUUAGAAUUGCUAAGUUGUCAACCGACAGUGAUGGAAAAAUUUAAAUCCAUAAUAAGUUACAAUGAUACAAGGAUUUAGUUCAUUAUAAUGCACAUAAAUAAAUUUAUGACGUAAAAAAAUUACUCUUAUUAUUUAAUGAAGAAGAUUUUCUCUUGAUUAUAACAAAGUUAUUUAGACAGUGUAUCAGCAGAAUUUUUUAUUAUAGAUAUUAGAAUAUUGUAAUAUAAUGAUUAAAAAAUUAUCCAUCUUUAUUAUAAAAUUAAAAAUAAUAAUGUAAAAUUAUAAUUAAGACUAGUAAGCCUAAAUCUCUAAAUAGCUAAUGUUAGGAAAAUAAAUGCAAAAAUUGAGGGGCUGGACGAGAUAUUCUAAACCGCCUUUACCACACUCCUCACUCUCCGAACAAGCGACAUCUGUGGCAGUGACAAUGACACGCACAUACACAGAACCUUUCUGCAAAAUUCUAUAAGCUUCUGCAAUCCAAAGCUUCUCUCUGCACAAAGAAGGAAUCAUAUAGCGCAAGAAGAAACAACCAAUCUCUACGGAAGCAUCAAGCAUGGCUGAUCGUUUCUUCCCAAAUGAAAUGCCAGAAACAUCACUUGCAGUUGCAGCUCAUGAAACAACAACUGCCCAAGACUCUCUCACCAAGCUCCUUUCUCUUCCGUACACAGCAGUUAGUGACACGCUCAAAAACUCAGCUUUGGCUCUCAAACAAACAGUAACUCCGUCUCUUUAACUUUCCCAUAUAGCAAUUUAUGAUUUUUUUUUCUUUCACUUUAUAAUCUUUUUUUUUUUUAAUCUUUAUAUGCCGACCAAGAUUUUUUAUUUUUAUUUUUUUGGUUUUGGGUUUUGUUGUUUAGGUUGUGAAUGAGACAUGGGGAGUGAGUGGAAAGCGUGUGCAAGAUUACACUUUGUAUACGGGUGCUCUCGGGACUGCUUACUUGCUGUUUAAAGCUUACCAAGUUACCAAGAAUGACAAUGAGCUUAAGUUGUGUUGUGAUAUUGUCAAGGCCUGUGAUUCUGCUUCGAGAGAUUCUGGGUACUCUCUCUGUCUCUAUGUUCUCACUAACACAUGAACACAUGUUUAUGUGUGGAUUACUUGAAGAGGGUAGGUUUUGUUUAGUUCAAAUUGAAUGGGAAACUUGCCAAAUGUUUUUCAAUUGAAGUUGCAAUUGUUUUGUGCCUAAAUUGCUUGAAUCACAGCUCAGCUCGUUCAGUGAACUAAAGUUGUUAUUUGAGAUGUUGGAUUGUUCAAAUUCACUGGAAUUUUUUUUUAACCCACUUGUGGUCUAUCUUUUCCAGUGUAAAUGAGUUUGGUACAAGUAAAUUUGAAGUGACUUGUUUGUUAGAGAGGGAAAAUGCGCAAAAUGGGAGGAAUUCUGAACCUGAGUUUCAGUUGAGUCGAAUUUAGCAAUUCGAAUCUAUUGGAAGUGUUGUGUGAUAUUUGUGAUGGUUGAAUUUGUCAAACUAGGUUGGUUAUAGAGAUGAAAUUGAUUGGGGGUGCUGAUCUGAAAUCCUCCUCCGUGGAAGUGAGAAUUUGAUGAAAUGUCUUUUUGUUAUGUGAAAUAUAUGAAUGUUUGGAAACUCUAGACUGAGUGUAGAUUCAGACGCAACUCCCAAGGCUGAAAAAUACUUCUAAAAGAAACGAAAAAGAUAGAAUUAAAUUGGAAAGGGUUGUAACGUGGUAUGUGGGUUCGCCUGCCUAGUUGGAAUUUUGCAAUUGAUUGUAUAGUGAGUUCUAGCUGUACACCAUUAGAAAUGAUUGAUCUGAUUUUCUGGAGUUUAUUAUGGGAUGCAUGGAUGUAGGUGUGUGACAUUCAUAUGUGGGCGGGCUGGUGUUUGUGCUCUCGGUGCUGUCCUGGCAAAGCAUGCUGGUGAUGAAAGGCUACUUGAUCUCUACUUAACAAAGUUUAAAGAGGUACUUGAUUGGCUAAUUCUUUUUCCAAUAUUGAUGACAUUGUUCCCCUAUAAAUACUUGAUUGUUAACUUUUGAUACCCUAUUUUAUUCUUGAAAGCAGAUCAAACUCCCUAGUGAUUUGCCAAAUGAGUUAUUAUAUGGGAGAGUGGGGUUUUUAUGGGCCUGUUCAUUCUUAAACAAGCAUAUUGGUAAAGACACAAUAUCUACUGCCCAAAUGGUAAGUUUUAUGUGCUCUUGUUUCUUCUUCUGGUUUGUCUCAAGUAAGCAGUCCAAAUUUUUUUAUCUUUUAAUUGGAUUAAUGUUUUUGCAGAGAGCAGUUGUGGAUGAAAUUAUUAAGGCUGGUAGACGAUUAGCUAACAGGGGAAGAUGCCCAUUGAUGUAUGAAUGGCAUGGGAAGAAGUAUUGGGGUGCUGCCCAUGGACUGGCAGGGAUUAUGCAUGUUUUGAUGGACAUGGAACUGAAACCUGAUCAGGUGGAGGAUGUUAAGGGUACACUUCGCUACAUGAUAAAGAACCGUUUCCCCAGCGGCAAUUAUCCUUCUAGUGAAGGAAGUGAAUCCGAUCGUCUUGUGCAUUGGUGCCAUGGUGCUCCUGGGGUCACUCUAACCCUCGCAAAAGCAGCUGAGGUGAUUCUUGAUGAGCAUUGUCAUUUUCAUUGCUGUCUAAUUUAUCAAAUUUAUUGUAAAGGAGUCAUUGUAGUAUAGAGAAAUGAAGAAUUAAAUGAUUUGUCAGCAUAAAUAUGAUUUAUUUAGCCUUGAUGGCAUAUAAAAAUAAAGAAUUAACUGAUGUGUGCGCUUCAUUAGAAAAUUGUUGUGUAUUUGCUCAGUUUUUUUCCAACUAGUCUAAGCAAAAUUACUUCAGAAAAUUGUCACAAGCUCACACCUAGUAUUUCAAGAGAAUUGAACAUUUUAGCAGUUGUUGAAAAGUUGAGGUAAUGCAUAUUGUUGUUAUAAAUGUCUAUAUUAUAGUUCUAUGUGGUGACUUCCAGUGGUGAGUGCUGUCAUUUACAUUAUAUUGGAGAAGCCAUUUGUAUUCCACAGAAUGCCAUUCUUUUUAUUUUGUUGGUGCUCUUAUGAUUAAACAUGAAAUUUAGCGAAGUUAUGACUUCCUUCCUCUUAUGCUGGCAUUGACUUUUCCCUCGGAGAUACUCAAGUCUCUAUGUUAGUCCUUUUAACCCUUUUUGGUUGAGAAAAACAUCUUUAGGAUCUGACAACUCUCUUGUCCACAAUGUUAAAUUAUCAGGUUUUUGGAGAGAAGGAAUUCUUGCAAGCGGCUGUGGAUGCUGGGGAGGUGGUAUGGAAAAGGGGUCUACUUAAGCGAGUUGGCAUCUGUCAUGGCAUCAGUGGGAACACCUAUGUUUUUCUAUCACUCUACCGACUGACUGGUAACGUCGAGUACUUGUACAGAGCCAAAGCAUUUGCAUGCUUUCUGUAUGAUAGAGCUCAAAAACUCAUAGCAGAAGGGAAGAUGCAUGGAGGUGAUCGCCCUUAUUCACUAUUUGAAGGUAUAGGAGGGAUGACUCAUCUCUUUCUGGACAUGAUUGAACCAUCCGAAGCUAGGUUCCCUGCUUAUGAACUUUAAGUUGCCUUCUGGAAAUUAUAUUAGGGGAGCACUUCUAAAUUCUGAAACCUUUUUUUUUUUUUUUUCAAAAUUUGGGUUACUGGUGUUCUACCUUCCUCCUGUAUAUGUUAUACCUUUUUACAGUGUGAACUUUAAGAGUUUCUUUUAACUAUUACUUCACUCAAAGCACUAUGCUGACAAAUCUGGCAUUCUUCUAAGUUUGGAAGUCUCUUGAUACAUCAAGCCCUGAUUACUCAGCCAAAAUCCAAAUGUUUAAGAAGUCCUUGAAGUACAAUUAACAUGAAGCCGAAAUGUUUCUCUUUUCAUUUCAUAUUAGACUCUGAAAUAACUACCACUUUGCAACAAGAGUGAGUGAUUUAUUGACAUUUUUUUUCCACAAGCCAUCUACAUCUACAAUUGAAAAGCUGACCACAAUUCCAAACUCCGCUACCUAACAAACCUUCAAGCUCAUAAAACCCUCCCGUAACAUAAACUGGUAGAUCUGAAUCUCCAGGUUUUGAAUUAGGCCAAACCAACAAGUUUCUCACUUAUCUGGUAGAUCUGAAUCUCCAGGUUUUGAAUUAGGCCAAACCAACAAGUUUCUCACUUAUCUCCCAGACUUUACGUGCCUUCUCAACGUCACUAGCUUCCUGAGACAACUGAUUCUCAAAUGAAGCUGAGUCCUUGUUCCAGCUCCAGUAAACACCUGAUUUUGUCAAGCUUGGAUCGCUCACAACCUAACAGAAGCAACCAGUCAGAUAACACCCUCCAGGCAUCAAUCACAAAUAUUUGCAUAAUAUAAAAACAGAGAAAGCACCAAAUCAUGUUAUUUUACCUGAGCAAGUCUUUUUCCAG